AGGCUGAAACUUCAAGAAAAAACAGUAUCUCUGUGGUCUUGGGUAAACCGUCCUACAGAACUGGAAAGAUUUGUGAACCCACUUUUUGAGGCAAAUAGCCUGGUCAUCUGGCCUUCUGUAGCACCACAAAGCCUACAGCUUUGGGAAGGUGUAUUUCUGCGUUGGAACCGCUCAUCUAAAUACCUUGAUGAAGCCUAUGAAGAAAUGAUCCACAUAAUAGAGCAAAAUAAGGAACUGCAGACCAAGGUUAAUGCACUUCGUAGGCAGCUGGCUGAACUUGAAACAGAGGAUGGCAUCCAUGAGAGUCCAUAGUACAGGGGUAGCAUAUGGGACAUUCCAGGAGCCCUGUUACACUUCAUAUUCUUUUAAGUUCACUGCAACACUAAAGAGUAAUUUCACACACACACAGACACAUUGUGCAUGCACUACAAGAAUUUUUUGUUGAAUUGCAUUCAGCAGAAGUGGGUCAAAAGGUGCAGUAUCUCCUUAAUCAAAUAAAAAAAAUGUAGUAUAGCUGCUUUGCAAUUACAUCUCUUGGAUGUAGCUGCAGUUUAUUCACUACAUUCUCUGUCACUCAGAGAGGAUCAAAAUCUCUAAUUCCAAUUAGUUCUCCAAUGUUUGUGGCUACUGCUUAUUCAGAGUCUUGCUAGACCAAAUACUUUAACGUAAUCAGCCCUUUCAGUAAAAGGAUUUUUUUGUCUGUUGGACAUUCUUUUUUAUGAUAACAUUUAAAAAGAUGGCUUAGUCUGGUGUAUUUUCUGGAGACAAAGUAUUUCAGAGGCUAUUGAUUAGCACUGGCAUCAAUCCAACUUUCCUACUUGGUAAAUGGGGUCAGGGUGUUUCAUCAGCAGUGACUAUUGCCUUGAGCCAAGUUUCACACCACUGGGUUGCUAGUAUUAUCGUUUUGUAUUAUCUGUCUCAGUUGCUUAAUUAAUGCAUUUUCCCUGAAUUUUGAUAUUAAGUUGAAGCUCACAUCUCCAUUUCAUUUGAUAGCCCCACUAGAAGUCUUAAACCUGACUCAGGUAGUCUUUUUACAUUUUUUUCUCCUUCCAUUGCAUACCUCCUAGCUGGCCAUCCUCUGCUUUCUGCUACUAUUGCUCCUAACUUUAGUGUCCCCAGUAGUACUCCCUUGUGGCCAGGACCUUAGCCAUAGAAAGUUUGGGAAGGAAAUUAUAGAGUAGGUCCUUCAAAUAUGCGGUCUUUUACACACAGGAUUGUUUGGAACACCCCAAACUGGAGGGAGGAGCUGCUCAUGUUAUACACACCAACUCAGUUGACAUCAGUCAAUGUCAACCAUACCCUCUAAUGCUGAAUUUAAUGGUCAUGUGUCUUGCAGUCGCAGCAUGCCUCACCACUGGUGAACUGCUACAUUGCAGACAGAAGAACCACCCUGCUCCCAGCAACCCAACUGCUCUUGAGUCAGACUGAUCCCAUUUAGAGUGCCAUCCCUCUGUGCAAUGGAGCCAGGCUGACUCAAUAUUCAUAUUGUUCAGAAUGAUAGCUUGAAUUCCCUGAAGCUCCAGGUUGAAUUUUACAGUUUUCUACUUUUCUCCUUGAGUACAGUUUUGACAGAUAUUUGAUUAGACAUUAUCCUUGUUGCUGUAUUGUUAUUACCUGCUUUAGUUCAGUAACCAAAGAUUUCAUUGUAAAUGUUUUACUAUCUUUUAUAGGUGAUGGCACUAGACUGAUGGUCCCCCUGACACAGAUUACAUGAGAUUAUGGAGGAUAGUUUCACCUAAAUGAUUUCCAUGCAUAUUGUAUAAUUUACUAGAUGUUGAACAAACUAAAAUGUCUGUGACCUUUGCAAGAACUUUUAACUGUCUGCCAAAAGUAAAAGGCUAAAAACCUUGGAGGUGAGUUCCCUUAAAGGAAGAUGUAAACAGUUGCAGUUAAGCAGCCUAAAGUUAAGCCAGACUUAUACAUGAGAUAGAGGGGUCACAGAUAUCUAAAACUGCACCUUGCCCUGUUGUAAACUCUAGAGAUAAAAGAAAAGAAAAAGAAAACAAAAGAGCAAAAAUAAAAAAAAGUAUAAAAUAGAAAAACCUUAACAUGUAUAAAAACAUUAAACAGGUAGAGGUCACUACACUGAAAAUUGUCUUGGUGGCCAUUAAAGGUGGAUAACCUUAGUAUGUUCCUGAUUAUAGAACAGAGUUUGUUGUAGCAUAGUGGGCACCAGCAAAGGCCACACAUCUAGUGGAAUUCUGACAUGGGAAUCGGGGUAAUUUCUGCUUUUCCUGCCUUUUCAUUCUGAAAUGUCUGUCAGUGCAGAAACUUCUGGCACUUAACUCUCUGCUCUCAUAAUGAAGAGGCAGUAAAUGAAGGAUUUUGAGUAAGAAGAGAAGAGGUGUAAUUGCAUAGUUUCCUUCCAUUUUAUAGACUUUGUAAGAGUUGGUCAGCCACAUCCAUAGGUAAACCAUCCCAUUCUUUCUCAUAUCAUAGACAUUGUGUAAGAUACUUCUUAGCAUGUAUACUUUCAGACACCAACAAUGAGUUAACCAGAUACAUUAUAUGGAGCCCACAGUGAUCACCUACAGUUGUUCAGUAUUUAUGUGGUCGAUUUGAUUGCAGUUCAUACAAAAGACCUUUUUCAUUGGGCAUUGUAUCAUCACAUAGAGAAGCUCCAGUCUUAGUUUUGUUAAGAACAUUUCUAGAUCUUCUGCUUCUAGAAUGGACUGAAGACAUUCUAUAGCUAAAGACUCUCCCUGAGAAUAGGCACACCCCAGUUGAAUCCUGAAAUCCUGUUUGGAGAUGAACGUAAACAAAAUUGGACUUGAUAUUUUUCACACGCCAACAGUGACUUAUGCUACAAAUGUUGCUUCAAAAAAAAAAAAAAAAAGGCCCUACUUUAGGAAAUACCAAUGGGGGGGGGGCAUUCCAGACAGUCCUCAGCAAGUUUAAAUAAACUGUUUUAUAAAAAAAAACAAAAAUUAUUAUUUGGGGGGCAUUUUCUAGUUCCCUAACAACCCUUUUAUUCUUCACAGGUUUCAGCUGUUUCCUCUGUAGGCCAGCAAAUUUCACUUUUCUCCAUCUGAUUAAAAUUACUUGUAAGUGACGGCUAGAUGUAAGAAGUAAAUGCUGUAGGAAUUAAUUAGAGCUUGCAAAUGCACUGUAUUUGCAAACUAUGCCAAAAAUCCUCAGAUUUGUCUUUCUUUGACCUGCAGGCAAGUUCAAAAGUUAUUGCAAAGAUAUUUAACCAUUUCCUUUCUUGCAAUAAGUGUUAUGUAUUAUGCUGUUCUCUUACCAAAACAGGACUUGUUCAGGUCAAUCUGGGGUUCAGUGAACCUAAAGAGCUUUGUAAAGGUAUGGAAAUUCACUUUUGUCGCUAACUGCUUUGGUAGCCGAAUAGCAGCAGUGGAUAUGAGUUGUUAUGACACAGUAGUGUAGCAGCUGCGUCUGUAAUUUUCAGAGUGCAUGGUGCCACUGUUGGCUUAUAUCAAAUCAGAAGGAAUUCACAUUUUCCUUACGUGGACAACUGCCUGCUGAGGUCAGAAUCUGUUGAGCAGCUGAGGUUCAAAUGGCUCAGAAGUUGGAAAUUACUGAAAACUGGUAAAUUUCAAAUGAUCUCAUCCCAGUCUGGUUUGCUUCUAGGCACAAGUCGUGGGUACUGUACAACAAAAAAUUAUUUUUGUCUCAGGAAAGUGGGGAAAUUAAAUAACUAUUUCUUUUGAGACUUCAAACAUAAGGACCAGACCCACUACCGGGCAGUUUCUCUCUGUUUUGGGAUACUUGACCUUUUGUAUAGUCUUGGUUCCACACACCAUAUCUCAUUUAAGAAGGAUCCAUUGAAACCUUAGAUUCAUGUAGGACCAAACCUUUCAAGAUUUUAAGCACAUUCUUCCAUUAAUUAAUGAAAAUUUGCUAGACCUAAAUCAACUAGUAUUCCAACUGUCCCAUCUUGCUUAAAAGGAGGUGAAUCUUCCUGCCACUUCUGUCACGUUAAGUUACCACAGGAGACUCAAAUUAUGGUUGGGAAGCUGACAUUCAGUUUAAGGCAGGUGUAGUCUCAACUGAACUCACAGAACAUCGACAUUGAGGAGAUGUGGAUGAUUUGGUAGCCUCAGAAACCUUUAUUGUCCUUAUAGAAAGGCAAAGUAUUUUCCCAGGCAGUACCACAGUCAUGUUAAGAUGGAAAAUACAGACAGUAGAAAAGUGAAACUCUCUCUAAAGCAACAGAGAUGCAAGAGACCUUCAGAACCCACCUCUAGGUAUUACCUGAAAUUCAGGAUUUCUUACUUCAGUAAACUGGAAGUGUUUCUCAUCCAUAUUCAUGCUGUCAUAUUUACAGCCUGGAUAAUCGCCUUCUGAACCAUUAUGACUUUUUUUUUUUUUUUAAAGGGUUGUUGCAAAGAAAGCCUAACUCCAGAAAAUGUUAUAGGGGCAGGAACCACAAAUGUAUCUGUGGAACUGCUCAGUAUAUUCUGAAUAUCUUUUCUUUUGGCUAGCCCUCUUCCACGUUUGGAGUGCAUUUUCUGUAUGAUCCAGCCUAAAUUACUUGUCCAUAAAAAUACUUGCGACAGCAUUGUCAUCAUCCAUGGUCAUCACCACUGGCUUCUACAAUGAAAAUGGUAUUUCCUUAAAGGAAUUAUCUGUCUGAUACCUUUAGGAGGGACAUUGUACCUUUCUGGCAAUUGUGCCUUGUUGGACAAAUGUGCUGUAUAAUGUUUUGAAGCCAUACAAUACACUAACCUGUACCCUGAAAGGCUUUCUUAGGUUGACAUCACACCUGCCAGAGAAAUAGGUUCAUAGGUUUAUAGAUUAGUACUACGCUAACUGCCCUUGCAAGCCAUUUUUUUAAGCCUAGCCAAUUAUCCCUUGUGAGACACAAACCCUGUACCUUGUGUUUGUAAGGCAAACACCGUAAUCAUCAGGCCACCCACCCAACCCCUUUUUUAAGAGUUGCAGGCCCUUUAUUGGUACAUAGCCAUACUUGGUCUUCUUCAAGGUCCAGGAUAAUUUGAGGACUUGCCAUUCUUUUAUCCCCACAGUGGUUGUAAUUUUCGGGAAGAGAGGGUUUUAUGUAUGUUUGGUGUGCACAUGCAGCAUACAUAUUAUACGGACAACACUGCCUCUUUCAAGAAAAGAGCAUUUGGGUAUUUUUAUUCACUGGGGAAAACGUAAAAAACAGUUAAAUCUAUCAUAAUCAUUUGACUAGAAAAUUGUAUUUCUUGUUGCUAAAAUCAAUGUGAGGAAACUCUGCAAAUUAUACCAAGGGUUCACUAGACCAAGUUAGCAUCUACCUCAGAGGCAUUUUUGAAGUGUUUCUACACUGAAUACAAGUGAAGUUGCUACUUGGCAGAUUAACUGCUCAUUUAUUAAGCACUACAAGUUGAAAUUUCCCGUCUGAAAGAAAGACGGGAUUUUGCAGAACUAUCCAGAGGCCACUUUAAGAUAAAGGGAGCAUUAAACAUUAUUUACCAGUAUUAUAAAAGUACAUGUGCUGUGAACAAUUCAGUGAUUUUCAAGACAGCCUAGUGCACUCAAAUAUUCUUUCAGAGUGCAUUUACACUCCACAACUCCAAGUUCAGUGGACUUUGAGAGAACAUGUGUGGUUACUGUCAAGCAUGGGAUCUGUUAAACCCUUAGCAUUUGAUAAAUUCAAGUCUACUUUCUCCUGCAUGCCUUUUUUUGCACAAGUUUGCAUGAGUUUUUUUCUGCUUUCUACAGCUGUUUAGAAAUGAAAAACUAUUCACUCAUUGCUUUUUUUAAGUGAAGGGGAUACUGUACCUUUCACAAAUACCUCUCUUUCGAAUAAUGAACUACGUUUUGACUAAUCUGAAUGUACACUUGGGCUCUUAAGUAUACUGCUGUCUUUGCAUUGCUGUACAUAUUGAAUGACUGCUUCAUUAAACCAGACCGAUCAUCUCUUUUACUAAGCCUAAUGAGAUUUGCAGACGUCAUGAGCAGACAAGAUCAAUGUACAUUCCUUUGUAUGUAUAUAAUGAAAAUUUACAUUAUUGUAUGACUUGUGAUUUGUUUUAUGCGUCUUGAUGUAUUGUAUGUCGUGCAAUAUCCACACAUUUGUUUACUUGCAGUUCAUUAAGAAACUACUAUGAAGAAAUGAAACUUCCAUUGUUAAUAAUCUUUGCAAAUCUGCUGGACAUUUUUCCAGCAAAACUGGUGCUCCAAGAUGGUGCACAAGAACCAGUGUAUACUGCACUGUUAAUCACUCUUAGGUUUUAAAUAAUCCUAUUGUCCUCUUUUUUGAAUCUGUAUCAGUGUCAUUUGUAUCACUAUUUAGGAAUCACUUGAUCAUGUUACAUACUGCAUGGUUUAUGUGAUCUUUUCUGACAUUAAUAAUAUUGUGCAUUAAUUCAAGUAACAAAGCAAGCCUCCUGUGUAAUUGUAGUUUUGAGCACAAAUCACAUUUUUGAGUAAGAUGACUGUACUACAGAGAUAUUUAGAUCAUCAAAUGUUUGUUGUAAAACUACUGCCUCACUGCAGUCAGUGACUGAGCAAAACAUAGUCACUGCAUCAGUUAAGUAAGUGCUAUUUUUGAUUUGUUUUUCUUUUUUAAAUAAAUGCAGCCGGAGUGUCAUUUUCAAAAGCAGUAUAUCUUAGUGGCUAAGAUGGUGAAGUCAAAUGUUUCAAUGUUAUCAGCCCUUACUUGUAUACUGUAUGACCCUAAUUUAAGUACUUCUGGUGUCUCUAGGUCACUCCUGAAGUUGGGACCUUUCAUCUCAUUAUUUCUACUCAGAUAGCAUUAUUUGAUUUCAUUCUUACAUUUUUAUACAUGAUAGCAGUACUAAAUCAUUUAUAUACUCACAAGGUGAUAAUUUUAUCAGUACAAAAUGUAAAACAGUGUAAGCAUAGUUUAAACCUGAAAAUUAUAUUGUUUGGAUUUCCAAUGUUUUUUUUAAAUUAAACCACCCCUCAGAAUUCUGUCCCAUUGUAAUUGCAUUUACCUCAGAUGUCAAAAUUACCUUAUUUAGAAUUUUGCUGAACUUAUAGUGGCACCUUUCCUUCUGUAGCUGAACCUUUGUCUUUUUAUCCCGUCUUUAAACUCUCUAGAAACCUCAUUAUGUUAGCUGCUUGCACAGGAAAGAGCAAAUGUGUAGACCUUGCUAAGUCACUUUGACUUUCUCAUUGUAUGUGCCACUGAAAUUGGAUUAUUGACUGUUACAGGGAGGCAAAGCUGUCUAGCAUCAGCCCUUGUGCGAAGCAUUGCAGUAAAGAUUGUGCUCCGCAGGCACUGUGAAGAAAGACUGGGCAAACACUGGUUCUGCAGAUGUCUGUAUGGAACAUUUAUUGGGGAAAAACAGUGUUAAGUGUUUUAAGAACUGUUGUGUUUUGAAUAAAGCCCGGAAUGAAGUCUUGUUCCUUUUGCAAUGAA